rnacentral:rRNA from 1 species
GAACGCUGGCGGUAUGCUUAACACAUGCAAGUCGAACGGAAUCUUAGGAUUCAGUGGCGGACGGGUGAGUAACGCGUGAGAAUCUAGCUCUAGGUCGGGGACAACCACUGGAAACGGUGGCUAAUACCGGAUGUGCCGGAAGGUAAAAGGCUUGCUGCCUAGAGAUGAGCUCGCGUCUGAUUAGCUAGUUGGUGUGGUAAGAGCGCACCAAGGCGACGAUCAGUAGCUGGUCUGAGAGGAUGAUCAGCCACACUGGGACUGAGACACGGCCCAGACUCCUACGGGAGGCAGCAGUGGGGAAUUUUCCGCAAUGGGCGAAAGCCUGACGGAGCAAUACCGCGUGAGGGAGGAAGGCUCUUGGGUUGUAAACCUCUUUUCUCAAGGAAUAAAUCAAUGAAGGUACUUGAGGAAUAAGCAUCGGCUAACUCCGUGCCAGCAGCCGCGGUAAUACGGAGGAUGCAAGCGUUAUCCGGAAUGAUUGGGCGUAAAGGGUCCGCAGGUGGCAUUGAAAGUCUGCUGUUAAAGAGUGAGGCUUAACCUCAUAAAAGCAGUGGAAACUACAAAGCUAGAGUGCGUUCGGGGUAGCAGGAAUUCCUGGUGUAGCGGUGAAAUGCGUAGAGAUCAGGAAGAACACCGGUGGCGAAAGCGUGCUACUAGGCCGUAACUGACACUGAGGGACGAAAGCUAGGGGAGCGAAUGGGAUUAGAUACCCCAGUAGUCCUAGCCGUAAACGAUGGAUACUAGGCGUGGCUUG